CCUACGGGUGGCAGCAGUGAGGAAUAUUGGUCAAUGGACGAGAGUCUGAACCAGCCAAGUAGCGUGAAGGAUGACUGCCCUAUGGUUUGUAAACUUCUUUUAUAUGGGAAUACAAUGUUCCAAGUGUGGGAUUUUGUAUGUACCAUAUGAAUAAGGAUCGGCUAACUCCGUUCCAGCAGCCGCGGUAAUACGGAGGUUGCGAGCGUUAAUCGGAAUUACUGGGCGUAACGCGCUCGUAGGCGGUCUGUUAAGUCUAGGGUGAAAUCCCCGGGCUCAACUUGGGAAGUGCCUUUGAAACUGGCAAACUGGAGUGUGUGAGAGGAUAGUGGAAUUCCAGGUGUAGGAGUGAAAUCCGUAGAUAUCGGGAGGAACACCAGUGGCGAAGGCGACUAUCUGGUACAUAACUGACGCUGAGGAGCGAAAGCGUGGGUAGCAAACAGGAUUAGAUACCCGAGUAGUC
rnacentral:rRNA from 1 species